AAGCCCACCUCUAGCUCAACCAUCAUCAACCUAAAACGAAAGAAUUAACCAUCAACUCAAACAAACCAAAACAUUAUACCACAAGCCUAGUAUAGGUGAUAGAAAAGAACCUCCGACGCAAUAGAGCCUUGUACCGUAAGGGAAAGAUGAAAUAAUAAUGAAACACCAAGCAAGAAAUAGCAAAGAUAAACCCUUGUACCUCUCGCAUCAUGAUUUAGCAAGAACAACCAAGCAAAGUGAACUAAAGCUUGCCCCCCCGAAACCCAAGCGAGCUACUUACAAGCAGCCAUUUACCCAGGGCGAACCCGUCUCUGUUGCAAAAGAGUGGGAUGACUUGUCAGUAGAGGUGAAAAGCCAAUCGAGCUGGGUGAUAGCUGGUUGCCUGCAAAAUGAAUCUAAGUUCCCCCUUAAUCCCUGCCCCCAGGGCACAAAACCUUAACCCCCAUGUUAAGAUUAAGAGCUAUUCAGAGGAGGUACAGCUCCCCUGAAAAAGAACACAACCUUUACCAGCGGAUAACCCAUCCCACUACAUCCACCGUGGGCCUUAAAGCAGCCACCAAUAAAGAGUGCGUCAAAGCUCCAACCCUAAAAAUCCCCAACCCUCCCGCGACUCCCUCACCUACAGCAGGCUAACCUAUAACUAUAGGAGAAUUUAUGCUAAAAUGAGUAACUCGGAAUCCACUCCUCCACAGGCACGAACUUACAUCAACCUAUUAUUAACAGAAUCCUACUUAUACUCCACUCCAACAAGCACCACAUAUAAAACUAACCCUGUUAAACCAACCCAGGAGUGCCUACAGGACGAUUAAAAUCUGCAGAAGGAACUCGGCAAAUCUUUAAGGCCCGACUGUUUACCAAAAACAUAGCCUUCAGCCACCAACAAGUAUUGAAGGUGAUGCCUGCCCAGUGACCUCCCCAACGUUCAACGGCCGCGGUAUCCUAACCGUGCAAAGGUAGCGCAAUCAAUUGUCCCAUAAAUCGAGACUUGUAUGAACGGCUAAACGAGGUCUUAACUGUCUCCUACAGAUGAUCAGUGAAAUUAGUAUUCCUGUGCAAAAACAGGAAUGUGAACAUAAGACGAGAAGACCCUGUGGAACUUAAAAAUCAUCAGCCACUUCCCCAACACACAACCCCAUCGGGCCCACCACCAAAGCAAAUACCUGGCUGACAUUUUUCGGUUGGGGCGACCUUGGAGUAAAGACUAACCUCCAAAAACAAGACCACACACCUUUACUGAGGACUACCCCCCAAAGUGCUAAAAGUAACCCGACCCAAUACAAUUGAUUAAUGGACCAAGCUACCCCAGGGAUAACAGCGCAAUCCCCUCCAAGAGCCCAUAUCGACAAGGGGGUUUACGACCUCGAUGUUGGAUCAGGACAACCUAAUGGUGCAGCCGCUAUUAAGGGUUCGUUUGUUCAACGAUUAACAGUCCUACGUGAUCUGAGUUCAGACCGGAGCAAUCCAGGUCGGUUUCUAUCUAUGACAUACUUCUCCUAGUACGAAAGGACCGGAAAAGUGAGGCCAAUACCCCAAGCACGCCUCCCCCUCUAAGUAGUGAACCCCACUCAACUACCAAGAGCCCAAACAAACCACCACAAAAAUCCUAAAAAAGGACCU
rnacentral:rRNA from 1 species